rnacentral:rRNA from 1 species
CAAUACGGAGUGGCAGACGGGUGAGUAACGCGUGGGAACAUACCCCUCGGUUCGGAAUAACUCAGGGAAACUUGAGCUAAUACCGGAUACGUCCGAGGUUUUAAUCGACCUUGGAGAAAGAUUUAUCGCCGGAGGAUUGGCCCGCGUCUGAUUAGCUUGUUGGUGAGGUAAUGGCUCACCAAGGCGACGAUCAGUAGCUGGUCUGAGAGGAUGAUCAGCCACAUUGGGACUGAGACACGGCCCAAACUCCUACGGGAGGCAGCAGUGGGGAAUAUUGGACAAUGGGCGAAAGCCUGAUCCAGCCAUGCCGCGUGAGUGAUGAAGGCCUUAGGGUUGUAAAGCUCUUUUACCCGGGAAGAUAAUGACGGUACCGGGAGAAUAAGCCCCGGCUAACUUCGUGCCAGCAGCCGCGGUAAU